GCCCCAACUAUGACCACGCGUCGCUUGGCAGUAGCCCAGGUCAACCUGCAUCAUGCGGUGGCUGCUUCGGCGGUCAUCUCCAGCAGGUUCGCCACGGAUGACCUGGGCAUUCUACUGAUCCAAGAGCCGUGGACCUACAGAGGCCAGGUUAGGGGCCUCAACCACAACAACAACAAGAGUUUCUAACACAGGACUUGGUCGCGGUGCAGACGUCGCUCUCGCUAAGUGGCAGAAGCCUAGAGGUGGUGUUUGCCGCGGCUUAUUUCCCGGGGGACAGCAACUACGCCCCUCCGCAAGAGGUACAGCAGCUAGUAGAAUUCUGCAGGAAGAGAAGGCUCCACCUCAUCAUAGGGUGCGAUGCGAAUGCCCACAAUGUCGAGUGGGGCAGCACGGAUACGAACCGCAGAGGUGAGUGUCUCCUAGAGUACAUCUUAAGUGAGGAACUAAGCAUCCACAAUGUUGGCCAAACACCGACAUUUGUAACGAGGGCUAGAGAGGAGGUACUAGACAUCACGCUUAGCAACAGACUGGCUAGCCCUCUGGUCACCCAGUGGGGGGUCUCAUCGGAGCCCUCACUGUCAGACCAUAGGAUUAUCCAGUUUGCACUGGGAGUAGAGGUCAUAACUAGGCAGGCAAACAGGAACCCCAGGAAAACUGACUGGACAAAGUACAGCGAGACUUUAGAGUCAAACCUAACUGGAA